AAGCCAUUACGACUGUAGGAGCCAGCCAUUUGAGCAUGAACAUUUAGGGUUGGAGAGACGCCAGAAAACUAGCACCCAUGCCCGCUCGCCUCUUACAGCUGCCUCUCAGCCAAGAAAUGACUUCUCACGAUCAGGAUCAUAUGGGCUGAGCAGGGC
rnacentral:lncRNA from 1 species